rnacentral:rRNA from 1 species
UACGUAGGGCGCAAGCGUUAUCCGGAAUUAUUGGGCGUAAAGAGCUCGUAGGCGGUUUGUCGCGUCUGCCGUGAAAGUCCGGGGCUCAACUCCGGAUCUGCGGUGGGUACGGGCAGACUAGAGUGAUGUAGGGGAGACUGGAAUUCCUGGUGUAGCGGUGAAAUGCGCAGAUAUCAGGAGGAACACCGAUGGCGAAGGCAGCUCGCUGGGACGGUACUGACGCUGAGGCGCGAAAGCCAGGGGAGCAAACGGG